rnacentral:rRNA from 1 species
AGAUGGCUUUAGCUAUCACUCUGGGAUGGACCUGCGGUGCAUUAGCUAGUUGGUAAGGUAACGGCUUACCAAGGCGAUGAUGCAUAGCCGAGUUGAGAGACUGAUCGGCCACAAUGGAACUGAGACACGGUCCAUACUCCUACGGGAGGCAGCAGUAGGGAAUCUUCCACAAUGGGCGCAAGCCUGAUGGAGCAACACCGCGUGAGUGAAGAAGGGUUUCGGCUCGUAAAGCUCUGUUGUUGGAGAAGAACGUGCGUGAGAGUAACUGUUCACGCAGUGACGGUAUCCAACCAGAAAGUCACGGCUAACUACGUGCCAGCAGCCGCGGUAAUACGUAGGUGGCAAGCGUUAUCCGGAUUUAUUGGGCGUAAAGCGAGCGCAGGCGGUUGCUUAGGUCUGAUGUGAAAGCCUUCGGCUUAACCGAAGAAGUGCAUCGGAAACCGGGCAACUUGAGUGCAGAAGAGGACAGUGGAACUCCAUGUGUAGCGGUGGAAUGCGUAGAUAUAUGGAAGAACACCAGUGGCGAAGGCGGCUGUCUGGUCUGCAACUGACGCUGAGGCUCGAAAGCAUGGGUAGCGAACAGGAUUAGAUACCCUGGUAGUCCAUGCCGUAAACGAUGAGUGCUAGGUGUUGGAGGGUUUCCGCCCUUCA